ACGGUCCUGAACCCCCUGCAAUGCAAAAGAACAAAAAUAUUAAUAGCAUGCUGCCUGCUGGGAGACAGUCAUCCGAGUUACAAAGCAGCUAGGAAUCUGCCAUCAACUACUUCAGAUACUGCAGGCUGUGCCACAUCUCAUCAGAAAUUCUCAAACUAUACGCUUUUAUUUCCCUUCAAUUUCUUUGAGUGGUGAUUUCAGAGGAUUUCAUUCAUUACGUAUUUUGGCAGAGUGGUCACGCACAAGAAACAUACAAGAGGAGGCCUGGAAAAUUAAAGCAAGUGAAAUUACCUUGAAGUACACCUUUCUACUUUAUUCAUUGGAGAACAAACGGUAAGAAUAUGUACUGAAAUUGUAUACUGCAUAUAUAAAAUAUAUAAAAGUAUUAAACUGCGGUUUU